rnacentral:rRNA from 1 species
AUUGAACGCUGGCGGCAGGCCUAACACAUGCAAGUCGAACGAGUGGCGGACGGGUGAGUAAUGUAUGGGAAACUGCCUGAUGGAGGGGGCUAACUACUGCAAACGGUAGCUAAUACAGCAUACCAUCGGAUGUGCACAGAUGGGAUUAGCUAGUAGGUGGGGUAACGGCUGACCUAGGCGACGAUCCCUAGCUGGUCUGAGUGGAUGACCAGCCACACUGUAAUUGAGACACGGUCCAGGCGCCUACGGGAGGCAUCAGUGGGGAAUAUUGCACAGUGGACGCGAGCGUGAGGCAGCCAUGCCGCGUGUAGGAAGAAGGCCUUCGGGUUGUGGAGGACUUCCAGCGGGGUGGCGUUACCCGCAGAAUAAGCACCGGCUAACUCCGUGCCAGCAGCCGCGGUAAUAG